rnacentral:rRNA from 1 species
GGGGUGAGUAACACGUGGAUAACCUACCUAUAAGACUGGGAUAACUUCGGGAAACCGGAGCUAAUACCGGAUAAUAUAUUGAACCGCAUGGUUCAAUAGUGAAAGACGGUUUUGCUGUCACUUAUAGAUGGAUCCGCGCCGCAUUAGCUAGUUGGUAAGGUAACGGCUUACCAAGGCAACGAUGCGUAGCCGACCUGAGAGGGUGAUCGGCCACACUGGAACUGAGACACGGUCCAGACUCCUACGGGAGGCAGCAGUU